UGGUCUUAAUUUCUCUCUUACCAUUGUAACAUUAUGAGUGGAAUGGAAGCAGAUGAUCUAGAUGACAGUCUGUGUGGUGGAGCAAAGUGUGAUAGAGAAAAUUCAGACUGUGCACAAUUAGAAUCCAGGAACAGAGACAAAACAAAGUCAGAGUUCCAACACAAGGGUGAAGGUCAUGACCUUGGUGACCCUGGGCUGAGGCCAAGUCUUUUGGAGGAAGUUCUGGCACAGAAAAAACUGGAACUGAUGAGGUCACCAGAGGUCAUGCAAUUUCUUCAGAGUCAGCAGGCUCAGAAAGCAGAGAGAAAUAAGACCCACCCACCCAAGGAGUAGAGAUCAGCUGCUGAUAUUCCAAGAAUUCUGUGAUUUCAAUGGAUGUUUUAUUGUGUGUUGUGCUUAUCAAGACACCAGUGAUUAAAAUGAACUGUGAACAGUGUUUAACUGAAUUUUUUUUAUUUUUUCUUUGGUGGAAUGCUAUGUAAAAUCAUUGGAUAUUCAGGUAUUUUUUGUGAAGUUUGACUCCAAAACACCAAGAAUCAAGGUCGUUUUAUAAUACAUGGCAAAUAAACACUUUUGUUAUACUUGGUGAAAUGUAUUGAUUCAAGCCUUGCAAUUUUACUCAUUUACAUGUAUAUACAUAAUAAAAGAUUGCUAACUUUAGUAAUAAAUUUUUUUCUGUUCAUGUAUACUCAGAAUGUAAAAUCCACCAUACAACAUAUACCCGCAAUGUCCACCAUACAACAUGUAUACUCUAAAUGCAAUGUCCACCAUACAAAAUGUAAACUCUAAAUGUCAUGUCCACCACACAACAUCUAUACUCAAAAUGUAAUGUCCACCAUACAACAUGUAUACUCUAGAUGUCAUGUCCACCAUACAACAUGUAUACUCUAGAUGUCAUGUCCACCAUACAACAUGUAUACUCUAGAUGUCAUGUCCACAAUACAACAUGUAUACUCAAAAUGCCAUGUCCAACAUACAAUAUGUAUAUUCUAAAUUUAAUGUCCACCAUACAACAUGUAUACUCAAAAUGCCAUGUCCAACAUACAAUAUGUAUACUCUAAAUGUAAUGUUCACCAUACAACAUGUAUACUCUAAAUGCAAUGUCUACCAUACAACAUGUAUACUCUAAAUACAACAUGUAUACUCUAAAUGUAAUGUCAACCAUCAAAAAUGCAUUGUGUACUCCAUAAAACUAGAAACCACUCAAGGGAAUUACAUGUAGAAGUUUUCAACAUGUUUAAUUUUCUAAUGUCUAUGAACAAUCAAGAUGAAUGAUAGUUCAUCAUCAACAAUAUGUACUCUAAAUACAACAUGUAUACUAUAGAUACAACAUGUAUACUCAAGAUACAACAUGUAUACUCUAAAUGUAAUGUCCACCAUACAACAUGUAUACUCUAAAUGUAAUGUCAACAAGAAGCUCAGGGGCCACACCGCUCACCUGAGCAACAAUAACCUUAACUCUGUUCAAAUCAGCAUUACAGUAUCAAAAUCAAAAUAUCUUGACAACUAAGUACAGUAGAUUGUGCUCAGAAAUUUUAAAAAACUGGCCAAUUUUUAUCAGGUAUUUUUUUGUUCAAUAUCAAGCCCUAUUUGUUGUUGUACAUGUAAGAAAAUUUUACUUUAUUCCUAUAUAUAUCCCCCCCCCCCCCCACUUUAUGGCCCUACUUUUCUCUAGGGAAUCAUGGUUUUAUCAAAUUUUAUUCUGCACAACCCAUGCUUUCACAUAAGUUACUUCUUUUUGGACUGAAAACUUUCCCAGAAUAUUUCUCAAGAUUUUCUAUAUAAUAUAUUCCCAUGUAAAAAUUCAUCCUCCAUUGUGGCCCCGCCCUACCCAAAGGGACCAUGAUUUAAACAAACUUGAAUCUACACAAUCUGAGAAUACUUCCACUCCAAUUUGAGCUUUUUUGGCCUAAUACUUUUUAAGACGUGGAUUUUUAUUGAUUUUAUCUAUUAUAUAUUCGUAUGUUAAAAUUCAUUCCCCCAUAGUGGCCACAUCCUACCCCCAGGGACCAUGAUUUAAACAAACUUUAAUGUACACUAUCUGAGAAUACUUCCACUCCAAUUUGAGCUUUUUUGGCCUAAUACUUUUUAAGACGAAGAUUUUUAUAGAUUUUAUCUAUUAUUUAUUCCUAUGUUAAAAUUCACCCCCACACUACCUGAGGAUACUUCCAUACAAGUUACAGCUUUUCUGGCCUAAUAAUUUUUGAGAAGAUUAUCAACAAAUUUUCAAUAAUUCUAAAUUAUCUCCCCUUUAAAGAGGGCGUGGCCCUUCAUCAAGUAUCUGCCCAGUCGUUCUUGAGAAGAUGAAAUGUGAAAAGUUUACAACAAUGAAAACGCCAACAACAACAGACAACGUACAAAUUUUGAUAAGAAAAGCUCACUUGAGCUUUCAGCUCAGUCAGUCUGCCGCCAUAAAACUUUGAGAAUUCUCAAAAAAAUUCUCAUUUCAAGUCUUGAGAAUUACUCAGCUAAGAAUAUUCUCAAAAUCAAUGCCAUUAAA